rnacentral:rRNA from 1 species
GAUGAACGCUGGCGGCGUGCUUAACACAUGCAAGUCGAACGAGAAGUGAAGACGGAAACCUUCGGGCGGAAGGCUUUAUUUCGAGUGGCGGACGGGUGAGUAACGCGUCGGUAACCUGCCUCAUACAGGGGGAUAACAGUUGGAAACGACUGUUAAUACCGCAUAAGACCACAGCACCGCAUGGUGCGGGGGUAAAAACUCCGGUGGUAUGAGAUGGACCCGCGUUCGAUUAGCCAGUUGGCGGGGUAACGGCCCACCAAAGCGACGAUCGAUAGCCGAUCUGAGAGGAUGACCGGCCACAUUGGGACUGAGACACGGCCCAAACUCCUACGGGAGGCAGCAGUGGGGAAUAUUGCACAAUGGGGGAAACCCUGAUGCAGCGACGCCGCGUGAGUGAAGAAGUAUUUCGGUAUGUAAAGCUCUAUCAGCAGGGAAGAAAAUGACGGUACCUGAGGAAGAAGCCCCGGCUAACUACGUG